GACGAACGCUGGCGGCGUGCUUAACACAUGCAAGUCGUACGGUAAGGCCCUUUCGGGGGUACACGAGUGGCGAACGGGUGAGUAACACGUGAGUAACCUGCCCACAACUUUGGGAUAACGCUAGGAAACUGGCUCUAAUACUUGCUAUGUGCUCCUGCCGCCUGGAGGGGGGUGGUAGGCUCCGGCGGUUGGGGAGGGACUCGCCGCCUGUCAGCUUGCUGGUGGGGGAGGUGCCGACCAAGGCGGCGACUGGUAGGCGGCCCGGGGGGGUGACCGGCCAAAAUGGGACUGGGAUACGGCCCAGACUCCCACGGGGGGCAAGAGUGGGGAAUAAUGCACAAUGGGCGGGAGCCUGAUGCAGCAACGCCGCGUGCGGGAUGACGGCCUUCGGGUUGUAAACCGCUUUCAGCAGGGACGAAGCUGUUUGUGACGGUACCUGCAGAAGAAGCACCGGCUAACUACGUG
rnacentral:rRNA from 1 species